rnacentral:lncRNA from 1 species
CACCAUUUUAUGUGAUUUUUCAAACAUCUAAACGAACCUGUUCUAUUUGAACAACAUUUAUAAAAACAAUCUAUUUAAGCGAAAAAAUAAAUGCUUCUGAUACUUUCUAUUGAUGUCUUCCAAUCAUUUUCUCAGCCUAUUUGUUGGUCCAUUUUCUUUAAGUUAUUCUGAGAUCUAUAAUUAUUGAAUUGGAAGAAAAACAAAGUCCUUCAUCCACCAAUCGUUAGUCUUGAUGGCUCCAUUGUGCUUCUUGUUUAUCCGAUUGAGAACAUGAAAUGGGCAUUACUGGAACCCAUAUGAAAAAGGCAAGAAAUGAGUUUUUGAUUUCGUUUUUUUAUAAAAGCAUAAUAGGUUGUUCACUUGUGGUGGGUUGGCUUUUGGAUUAGGUGUAUGUUGAAAGAGUUGGAAAAGAAAGUGACUAUUAGAGAGAUAAUGGGAAUGAAUGAAUAAAGCACAUGAAAAAUAAGGUGAGCAAGGAUGAGAUUGAUUUUUUAUUAAAUUUAUUAUUAUAAGUAUUUACUAUAUAUUACUCAAUAUGGUGUAAUAAAUUCACUAUUUAAAAUAUUUUUAGAUGCGUGGCUGAGAGAGUUGUAGAGUGUGAUAAUAUCUUUUCUCUGAUCAGGUUCGAGGGGUCCGUGAGAGAUCACUUCGUUGGGAGAGAUGUUGCAUGCCAAAAGAGGAUGGAGAACUUGGCAUUUAAGGCUUUUUCUGGAUCUCAAUUCCCUGGACCCUAUAGUUUGUCCAUAUUCAACACUCUCCAAUUUCCUCUUUUCUGGAUCAUUCUAAUAAUUCCAAACCUUGGAAAAUCUUUCUCAAAAAAAUCUUAAUAAUCAGGAAGCUGUUGAUAUGAUGCUAUUAAAUCAGCUCCUCAAGGCUACUGUUUCUUUUUUAGAAACCCAACUGCAGAAUCUGGUGUUUGGAAUUAUUAGAAUUUAUUCUUGCAGGUAUUUUUUUUUUAAAAAAAAUAAAAGAGAAAUAUUAUUAUGCACAAAGGUACCAAGAGGGUACCACCCCAAAAUACAAAAUUAACAGUCGAUCAGGUAAUCCAUAACAGUCCCAACAUCUUCCCAAUCAGCUAUGUCAUGACAAAUUAAAAUAGACCCAAAAGUAUGAAAAGCACCCAUGUAAUUGUAGAGUAUCUAUAUAAUCUAAUAUAACUAGAUAAACGGCCUGCUUAAUAAUGAUAAAGCACUCAUGUAUUCAUAUUAUCUAUAUAUUCUAAUAUAACUAGAGUUGUUAAAAGGAAAACUAUAAUAAAAGAAGAAUUUUUUAUUUCAAAAAAAAUAUAAAAUAAGACUUUUG